rnacentral:misc_RNA from 1 species
GAACGCACCUUGCGCCCUUUGGCUAUUCCAAAGGGCAUGCCUGUUCGAGCGUCAUUCAAACCUUCAAGCUCUGCUUGGUGUUGGGCGUCUGUCCUGCCUCACGGCGCGGACUCGCCUCAAAUCUAUUGGCGGCCGGCACGUUGGCUUCGAGCGCAGCAGAAACGCGAACUCGGGCCCGACGGAUCGGCUCCCAGAAGCUACCCCCAUGAAUUUGACCUCGGAUCAGGUAGGGAUACCCGCUGAACUUAAG